ensembl:lncRNA
AUAAAUUUGAAGAAAUUAACUAACUUUCUAUGCAUCUGGACGAAGAGCGUGUGGCUGGAUGUGCUUAUUCUGUCUAUGCAAGUCUUCCUGCAGGUUGGUGUUUAAGCUAUACUUGUGUGAAUCGAGACCGCCAUCCCAUGGUUGCUCUCAGAUUUGUUCUCAGAGAGAUAAAUGGCUGUUACCCCCCGCCCACCUUUCUUUACAGGGUGGUUGUACUGAAACAAAAGACCACGUCCUUCAUAUAUUCAGUGCUGUGUUUUGACAUGCUGUGUAUUGAGUUAAACCUCUUCCCAGCUGCCAAAAACCUUCAACUUCACUUACCUAUGGCACGUAACUUUCAGUGCUCUGAAAAGUUAUCGAAGGGCAGGAGGGCACAGGAAAAGAAUAAAACAAAGAGAUUUUACAGCCAGACUACAGUGAACCUGCAGUAUAGUUAUACUGGUACCAUAAAGGAAUCAUUUUGGAUGCUGCUACUUUUGUUUGCCAAGGUAAAUGCUAUAGCAGAGCUAUGGCCAAAUGAAUUCCUGAAAGUAAUCUUUAUUUGGUAAAGAGACAAACUAUGAUGCUACAGUAAUUUUGUAUUGCAGUACUUCACUAUGCUGUAGUUUCUCACAGGGGAGGGUUGAAUACCUAAUGUUGUUUAGGGAGCCGUGAUAGCUUUUACAUUUUUACAGAUGCUUUCUAAAAUAAGCUAACAUCACCUGCUUGUUUUCCAAGCAUUCUCUGCAGAAUGGCUUUAGUGCACUCUUAACACAACAGUUUCUGUCUUCAGAAGGAAUCCUCAAAGUAAAUCCUGGCAAUGGGAGAGAAGGACAGAAUAGCUUUCUGUUUCUGAAAGGGAAAUAGCUGUUUGCUUGAGACUACUUACUGGUAUGUGUCCCACUUGAAAUGUUGAGUGCUCCUGCCAAGUUUUACAGGGUGUUUAUUUAAUAUGAGUUUCUGCUGAAUGUGUAAAUUUUCUUGACUACGUUGUGCCUGACAUAUCCAUAUGUGAAACUUAAGAGGGCUGGUCUGCACAGGAACAAUCCAUAAAUGUAAGGAAAUUGGCUGAACACAUAAAGUCAAUACACCUAAAUUACUCUAUCUUAAACUCUCCUGCGGAUAAUUUCUUUCUGGAGUAGAGUGAUUUCAUUUUAUUGCAUAGUAAGCCAAAAGGUAAAAUUACUUCACAACUGAAUGAGAACAUCCACGCUGUGUAACUGACUGUAAUUGAGGGUGUUUGCAAACAUCCUCUGGUUAAUCUACAUUCUGGUUAAACUGAGCUAAGAAACCUGCUUCCCAAAACAAACCGUCAUCAUUCAGAAGGCAAAGGCUGCUGCCUUUACCUAUACAGCCAGCUAUCUAAGGACUCUGUCCUGUUUCAGUACAAAUUUAGGCAAACCGCAUUAAUAAUUAUUAAUAACUAAGUCACAUAAUUUGCUUAGAAGCUUUGAAGAAGUGCUCUACUGGCUGAAUUGGUAGAAUAAUGUGCAUUAGGUGAUGUAGCAACUAUCAGCUGACAAAGCAGGAGAUAAAAAAUUUUGUGCUGCUGUGAAUGAAGGUGAUUUUCUUCAUUCUCCAUUGUUCUUUUGUUUUCACUAUCGCCGCGUGGUCCGAACCAGAACUGACAGCAUCCUCUCCUUAUCAUUUACCAAAAUUCCUUGAAACUCAUCUUGUUCAUUUCGCUUUGGGUUAUCUUGAAAAAUGCUAUUGCAAAUGUGAUUAACUGUGCUCCUAAAACGGAAUUCUUUUCUUCAGAAUAUGAUGUCAUUCUUCAGUGCUGCUUAGAUGUAGGAGAAUUAGAAGGACAUUGAGUGCAGUUAAUUCCAUUGAUUGUUAACAGCACAAAUGAUACAAUCUAUUUAUUGUAUUCUUCACCUGGUUCAUGGCCAUAGCCUUGCUUAAAUAUGGUAAUAUUUCUAACACCUACACCCAUCCAGUGAUCAGGAGCCAUUGUGCUUUAGGUCAAAAAUAGGUUCCCACAUCUGACAUCCUGAAUAUGUUGUUUAUUGUUGUUGUAUAUGAAGCAGGUACAGACAGGCCAGGACAAUAAUUACAUUUAUUAAUAGUCAAAUUUUAUCCAGAUAUGGAAUUUGUGAAUAUACAACAUUGCUUUAUUGACAUACCUUGUCAAGUGGUGAAAACUGUAAGUAUAAUGUCCUCACUGAAGAAGAUUGAACCAGUGAAUUAUUCUAUUAGUAGAGUACGUAAUUUUUGUACGGAUAAAGCACGUAUUUGAUUUCCUAUGCUUGAAAUCACAUUUUAAAAUACUAAUAUUGCAAUACAGCCAGUAGGUGGCGAUAGCCAUUUAAUUUAUUAAACUAUGGCAGCUCCCCAGCUCACGCUCUCGUGUUGGUACUCACGUUACCUUUGAGCCUUACAAAAAAAGAAAUUAAAAAAAUCACUCUUGAAGAGUCUUUCUGAGUGUACUCUCAACUUUAUAGUUGAAGGAUUUGCUGUGCAGGGAAAUGCAACAGCAUUUGUCGGAGCAGUGUCAGAGUCAUGUCAAUUUAAGCUCCAGUUUCCUGUUCUUCUAUAUAUUGACAGUAUUAGCUUAUUAUGAAUUUUUCCUUACAUUAUAUAUAUGUUUAUGAUGUAUUCUUUAGCAACUAGGAACAAAUGUUCCCAAGGCCUUUUUUUUCUGUGGCAUGUAUAUAUGCCUUUGUACUUAGACUGAGGGAGCCACUUGAAAGCUGUAGAUUGUAUGCAGAUACCCACUGGUAGUAUAGGUGCAAUAUCAUAUAAGAUAAAAAAUUAGAUUUAUUUUCUCUGAAUGAUACAGAAUGUUAUUAUUGGUAGGAUAUGAAGAAGAAAAGGCUUGUGUAUAGUUCUUAAAAGUGUUUAGAGUACAAUAGCAGUGAUAGUUGGGAGUCUGUUUAGGACAAAGCCAUGAGGGGUUUUCUCAGAUUAGUGAGACAUUACUCUUAUAAAAUGUUAUGCAAUGCUAUUUUGAUUAACUGUGUGUUAAAAAAAUCUAGUCCUUGACUUGUCAAUAGAUUGGUUUUGUUUUCUGCAAAUAGACAUCAGGUGGCUCUGCUGCUUGAACCAAAUGUUCAGCUUUAUCUUCAGCCAGAAAUUUAAUAUGAAAUGAGAGUGAAAGAGAACGUCCAUGAAAGAAGAGGAUAAACAGGAGGCAGAUGGUCCAUGUGUGUAACUUGCAUUGCCAAAUAGUGGAUUAAGAUGAUCUUUUUGAAUGCUACUUCACAACCUUAGAGCAACUGAGAGAAGUUAGGUUUCCAUUAGCUAUUGAAUGAGAAAAUUUAUUCCAGUCUUCAUAAGAACAUCUCCCAUUUCCUGAACUAGAGGAGAAGAUGCUAAUCUAAAGAGUGACCUAGAAGCAGUGUAAGUAGAGGGAAGCACAAAAGUGCCAUCUCCCUGCAUGGUUCUAUCAAACCCAUUUACCAUACUGAUCAGAGACUGAGUCAGAGCUAGAAAGCAGAUGAAAUUCACAGGAAAACCAUUUGAGCAGUCAAUAAUUUUGCAGUUCGCAACAAUGCAUUAGAACUGUUUCUUCAGCCACAGUGUUGUAGGAUGGUUCCCCUGACUGGAGGGCUAUGAUGAAUUGUGCUCUGUAUAACAAAGCAGCUCAGAUGCAAGGAGCUUUGCUAUGAAAAGGACAAGUCUGUCAGCAGUUUAUGGGAUCAGAAGGGAGGCCAUGAAGCAGACAUAGUGAUAGGAUUCUGCUACUGGUUGCCCAGACAAGAAGAGCAUAGCCUUCCUUAAACAACUGGAAUAAGUCCCAUAGGCCCUGCUUCUCAAAUGGAGUCUUGAAUCAUUCUGACAUCUGCUGGAUGGACAUCACAUCAGGGAACAGGUAGCUGAUGAGAUUUCUGGAGUACAUGGGGGACAAUUUUGUGGUUCACUUAGGUAGACUGACUAGAAGGGCUCCACUGACCUGACCUUCUGAAUAUGUAAGAGCUGGUACAGAAUGAGAAAGCUUGACAGCAGACUUGGCUACAGUGACCAUAAAAAGAUGUUAAAGGAAUUAAGGAAAGGGAAUAGUAGUCUGACAGCUUAGGACUUUGUGGGCUUUUUCGGGGAAUUAGCAGGAAGGAUCUCAUGAGAGGUUGAAGGGCAAAUAUGCCCAGGAGAACUGGCUAGACAUCAAGGAUAUUCUAUUUAAAUCAGAAUAAAGAAAGAAAGAAAGAGAGAGAGAGAGAGAGAGAGAAAGAAAGAAAGAAUGGAAAAGCAAAAGAUAGCCUAAGCGUAGAAAAGAAAUGGAUAGAAGCUAGUAGCUGGAAGCAGGGUCAAGCCACCUGUAAGAAAUUAGGAAGUAUCACCUGGGUAUACAAUGAGGACCUCGAAUGGGAUAGGCAGUCUUGUACCAAAGGAUACAAACAAGUUCAGUGUCAUCAUUGCCUUGGUUUUUACUAGCAAGCUCUCCUCUCAGAUUUAUCAGGCUCCUUUUGUUCAGUAGCAAAACUUGAGAGAAAGAGGUAUUACAAAUGGUAAAGGACAAUCAAGUUAGAAACUACUUAAACUGGAAGUACUGAAGGUGAUAGGCCUGGAUGGGAUUAAUGCAUUUCAAGGUGCUGAGGAAGUUGGCAGAUGUCAUUACCAGGUACCUCUCUUUUAUCAUCCAAACGUUAUGGUGAACACAGCUGUUGGAUGAGUUGAGAAAGAGAAAUGUCAUGCUCGUCUUCAGAAGUGGUAGAAGAGAUCUGGAAACCAAGGGGUGGUGAGCCUUACCUCAGCCUGUUAGAAUCAUAGAAUCAUAGAAUCGCUCAGGUUGGAAAAGAUGUUAAAGAUCAUCAAGUCCAACCACAACCUGACCAUAUUACCCUAACUCUAACAACCCUCCACUAAAUCAUGUCCCUGAGCACAACGUCCAAAUGGUUUUUGUAAACCUUUUCCAGUCACAUAAAGAGAAGAAAGGUAAAUGGAAAGUGCUAGUGUGGAUUUACUGUGCCUGGCAAUCCUGAUUACUUUCCAUGGUGAGAUGAUUGGUUCUAUGGAUAAGAGUAGUGCCUGUAGAUUACCUUGAUUCUAGCUAGAUCUUUGUUCUAGUUUGUUAGAAAUUCUUAUAGACAAACAGAAGAGGUAUGAACUGGACGGCUAGACUACGAAGCUAGUGAUAAACUGGCUGGAUUGUUUGGUUUGAGGUGUAGAGGUCAGUACUUAAAAGUUUAAAUGACAACCAGUUGAAGAUGCAUCCCUCAAGUGUUGAUGCUAGAGAAAUUGUUUUUUAACAUCUUCAUCAACAAUCUUGCUGAUGGGGUAGGAUUUUGCUUUCAUGAACAACACCAAACUGGAGUGAGCAAUUAAUACCCUGCAGGGCUGGGCUGUCACUUGGAGGAACUUUGACAGCUAGAGAAAUGGGGCUGGUAGAGACAUCAUGAAUAUAAACAAAGUCCUGCACCUGUGAUGGAGUUAUGUCAUGCAUCCACCGGGAUAACAGCUCUGCAGGAAGGCACGCUACAGGCAAGUUGAACACAAGGGAGCUUUGUACCCUUAGGUGAUGAAGACCAACCAUCUAUUGGGCUAAGGUAGUAAAAGUAUAUCAAUCAAGCUAAAGGUAGUGAUUAUUCAUGUUUCAUGUUUGACACCACAUUUGAAAUACCUUUCCUAGCUUCAGGUUCCUUGGUACCAGCAAGAUAUUGAUUGACAAAGCGUGAACAUACGCAUGAAAAACUGAUGAGCAGAUAAACUGAUUGUUUUGUCUGGAUAAGGGUAAGGGUCAAUGAGUCUAACUGCUAUCUGAGGAGGCUUAGGAAACUCCAUGCCAGAGGACUUUUUGAAACAACAUAUUUAACUUGAAGUUGGCUCUACUUUGAGUAGGAGAGGGCACUUGGUGAUCUUCAGAGGUCCCUUUCAAUACAUUUUCUUCUGUGAGUGAAUGAUUAUCUUAACAUGAGGCCUUAAUGCGAUUACUGGCAAGCUAGAUAUGUUUCAUAGAAAUCAUUAAAAUUAAAAAAAAAAAAAAAAGUGUAAUUCUUCAUCAAAGUCUCCAGGUAAUGAAGACAGUGAGCAGUCUGCAUUUAUUAAUCAUGCUUACCUAUAGCCAAAGCAGAAAAUAUUUCAAAUAUCUAUCAGUGCCCUGAGCACACUAAUGGCUUGAGGGUACUAAUGCCCUGUCCCUGUCCACUGCUGAGGCUCCCUCACAUGGCCAGGAUCACCACGUCAUCCCAGUGCCACUCACCCCUGCCCCAGUAAGGCAGCAGGGAUGGGCUCCAGCUCCCCACAACCCUGCCCUGCCUGACCAUAGUCUGAUGCAGUUUCCGAAGGGCCGUGAAGGUUGCCAUGAGCACCAAGAGUACUUUUUUGUUGUUGGAAUUUUAUUUUAUUUUUUACUUCUGCUGUUGUGGCUAUUUGAGUUUAUGUCAAUAGUUUAAAUGCAUGGUGGAGUAAGAAGUUGAACAUGGCUCUCCCGUGCCCUUUCUGAAGGUUUUAAACACUGAGCUGUAAAAUCAUUACGAAGGGAAAAGUAAAAUUAGUAUGCAAAGUUUCUUUCUCAGGACUAUACACAGUGAUUAUAUCCCUUUUACAUACUGCUAACACAGAGCUCAUAUGUAUACCAACGCUGUGGUAGAAAUUUGUCUUUGAUUGCGUUAAUUUCUUUUCAUUGAAAACUUUGGGCGUUUCUCAGAGAGAAAAACAUCUCAAAUAUAUUUAUGAGCUGGGGAUUUUCUUUCCCAGGCGGUUUGCCUUGCAGAAAAGAUGAUCUCAUUUGCUGAGCCAUGCUGCCAGCAUUCUUCCUUUUCAUGAAAGGAAAUUAUGGCUCCUGUGAAAGUGUCACAAAUGACACGGAGGGUUGGCAGCACAGAAUCAUUAUUGCUUGUUGAGUAAACAUUUUCAAGCAGAGAAUAAAUAAAUCCUCAUCAUAACUGAGGAUUUGGAGAGGGGUAAUAGAGAACUGUAUUAGGACAUUGUUAGCAUUUAAAUGUGCCUGUUACCAAGCUAUAGCAAAAUUAACUACCGUGACUACCAUUACACUGUCUUGCAACACUUGUCUUGUGCCCCCUCCCCGGCGCUCCUUGGCCCCCUAAUUUUUCCCACAGAGCUGGGUGGUGUUUCCCACCCGGCCUUUGCCCCCAGCAGCAAAGAGAGGCAUCUCUGUCUGCUGACUGAGCUCCCCAUAGCCCCUUCCAAACUUGCAGGGAAUUUCUCUGCACAAAGGGUGGCUCAGAGCUGGCAGGUGUGGGGUGCGGGUGGCUAGGAAUGGGGGGAAUGUGAUUAUGUGUCAGGGAGGUGCAGGAGGGGAAGGCUUCUCUUCUGCUGUGUGCUACAGGCUUCACCACGUGCUGCUGACCUCAGCACAAGAUCAGCUCACAAUGUAAAGACCCCUACCUGUCUCAUUUUCAAAAGGUUUUAUUGAGUUUUACUACUCUGAUGGUAUUGGGUAUAUGUAAAUUUUAUAGAAGAGUCACAUGGUGACUCCUACAAUUGAAGUGACUUUUCUUUUAUUGUUCUUUUAUUUUCUGCCCAAAUGAACACGUUAUUUGGGAGUGUGCUAGUGACUGGUAUCUCUGACAGUAUGACAGUGAACUACUUGCCUGACCUUAAAACAGCGACUGCAUUAUGUUGGUACAAGUUCCUGCUAUACUGUUAGUGGUUUGCAUGCUUGAAUUCACACUUUGCAAGGCUUUGAAGAAGUGGCAGUUCACACAAGAUUGCAGGGGAUGAAAGAUGACCUUUAAAAGUCUCAGUGAAGCAGCACAGCAUACUUUCUAACUAGAAUGGAUGUUCAUACAGGCUGAUGACCUGGAGGUGAGAGCACAGAUUUUGUCUUGGGUGCUGGCUAGCAGAAAGAUCUUAGUGCAUGAGCUUUUUAUUUAGGAAUUCAUUUUUCUAGGGGGUCCUUAGGAAUGGAACAUCACUCUCCUUAAGGCGUGUCUGAAACUGCAGCUGUUCAUCCAGUUUAUUGCACUUCCAGAGGCCGAAAGUUUGCUUUUUGUAGCUUAGAAAACCUCUUUGUAGGUUUUCUAUGUCCGGCAGUUGACUGAUGGUCAUCGUUUUCUCCAUUGUCCCAUUAAUGCUCAAAGGCUUUAAUUUGGAGAUAUUUUAUUUUUUUAUUAUUUUAUCUUUAUAAGGAAAAACAAUGAUAGAGAGCUCAAGGCUGUACAUGUCUUUCUAAACCCAGUAGGACCAGUUUUCUGAACUCUAGCUCUGUCACCAAGAUCAUGGGCAGACUCUGGUCCAAAUUUCUUACAGCCAGCUCCCUCUGAAGCAUGUGUCCUGGAUUCAGGCAGCUGGAGUGGUGCAAACCAAAGCAGAGGAGGAGGCUGCCAUCUAAGCAGUGUGAAGUCCACUGCAUGAGCCUGCUCAGCUUGUUUGGUUGUUUUUGUGUUGCUGUCUUUUUUAGUAUUUAUUUUUUUACUUAGCAGUGUCAACAAACCUUAAGAAAACAGACAAAAUAUGUAUCACUUUUAUUCUGCCAGUACAUACAAAAUGCCACCUCUGAAUGUAUUUGUACCACUUGCAAGGCAGCGUACCUAGUAGAUGUCAAUACAAGCUCAGUUGGACUAUCCAUAAGAAAUGAUUAUUGUAUAAUUGUAGUAUCUUACGCUGAAGGACCGGAGUGAUGGCUGCACUCAGUUUUUCAUAAAUGAAAACCUACUGCACUAAAUGAGACGGUUAAUUCACCAAAGCAUGUUUACUGUGGAAUUCACACCCAACUGCAGCAUAUGUAUGUUACUAUUACAUAAUGAAUAAAUUAUUAUGAGCUGCGACCCCCAGAGGCAUCCAGGUGCCUGAGUGUCUCCCCUCCAGUGAGUGAACUGCAGCCACUUUGACUGGUGGUAGCUGGUGCUUAGCAUACCCAGCUCAGAAGUAAGUCUCCAGGCAUCCAUAAGAGGCUUUCCAGUAAACAAGAUAGCCCCUCUAAUGAUGAAUGAGUUCUUCUUUAUUCUUAUGGCUUGAGGUAUUUAUCUUCUUGCAUCACUUUCUGAUUUCCAGUGCUAUAGUAAGACUGCUGUAAUUUGCAAUGUAAGAGUAGUGUGAAGCUCAGUUUGUUCUGUUUAAUAUAGUGUGUGGACUGAAAUUCAAGUAGAUAGCAAUAUUUCAAAGCAAAUAAAUACAUCUGUGUAAGUCAAGUCAAAUGCUAAAGCAUAAUCAGUCUCAAAGUGAAGUAUAAUUUGACCAGUGAAUGAAUUCACCAAGCUGCUAACAGUGAAGAAAUUGGAGUUCCUUGGUACACGAAAGUUUAUUGCCUAGAGAUGAUAGUGCUUGUCUCCCUGUGGACUUGUGGGGAAAAGCCUCACAUCAGCCUCACAUAUGCUAAUAAAGAUCAAUAUUUCUCAUUUUCUCUUCUCAUAGUAAGGAAAUUAAUCCACGGUGUUACUUUAGAAAAAUAACCCAAGUGGUAGAUUUGGGCAGAGAAAUUCUUACCUACACCUCAGUUUUAUUCCACAGGAAGCCUAGUGAUUACUGCUUUGCUAAUGCAUGAGCUUAUUUGGAAAAGCAGCUUUGAGCAUGCAUAUGAAAUGGUAGCCACCCUUUGCCACUGCAUGGGCCAUUCUACUCUCAGCCCUUUGUUUUAGUAAAUAUGUUCCCAGUGGGGCAAAAUUCUUGCCAAGCCUCUUAGAAGGUGUCCUUAUACCCAUACUUCAGUUUUCCACAUAGACUUUUUUUUUUUUUCUUUUUCCCCUCAACUGUUUGUUGUUAAUACAGCUUCAGGUUUCCAUUAGUACAAUAUUUGAGUGUCUCAGUCUAAAGUGUGUUUAUUUUUUCAGGUCCACGUGAAACAGGGAAGGCUCUCUGAUAUUUCUUUUCAGAUCAUACUUUGGUGGGGAGAGAAUAGAAACACAGAGAAGCUCAGAUUCUACAAUACAGUGAGGUGCCAGACUCCUACGUGUCAGAAAUUCCUCCAUGUGUUGGAGGGUCUGAGCAUGGCUUGGUUCACAUCACAAAGCAAGCAUGUGGCAGACUGGGGAAUGCAGACAAUGAAUUGGCCUGCUGUGCCUCCAGUGAAAAUGGGCUUGGAGGGCACGCAUUUAAUGACCGUCCAGAAACAAGAAGCAAAGGCAGUGAGCAGGAGGGUUUGGAAAAGAGUGGUGCAUUUCUUACGUAGGGUCUUUACUGGAUCAAACUAAGGUGUGGCUGUACCUGUCAGCAUGAAUUGUUACUGCACUCGGAAGAGGCUGUUCAUUGGAAGAUACUCAAAUUAAAAACAGAGUCCUGUAUUUUCAAGAACUGCAGGGCAAAGGGAAAGAAUAUUCAUACCAAACAUUUUUAACAUACAUAUAUUGGUAUUAUUGGCCCUAGCUCCUGACUCAGUGACAAAAGCAUAUGUGCAUAAAGUGAUUUCUUUGAGGUAAAGGUCAUUGUUCAGUCUGCGCAUGCUGAAUGUCUUGUGUUAACCUUCUCUUUAAGCAUAAGAGCAGACCUGCCACAGUCUCCAUACAUCUUGCCUUUCCUUUUGAAUCACAAAGGAUUCACUUCACUUAUAACAGCCCGACUAAACGUGGUGCAAUUCCAACACUACAAUAUAUAUAUGUAUAUAUAUAUAAAAGAUGUAUCAAGUUUUUAAAAGAAACUUCUGGAAGCUUAAACAUAGGAAUGAAGGAAUGAAGACUCAGGGCUUUGUGCAAAGCCCCGGGGACAGCCUGCGACUUUGCUGGAACAAAAGUUUCACUAUAAAUACAUUGCGAAAAGCAAACAUAAUGUAGAUAGGUUCAUUGUAUUUCUCUUGCACCUUCUCGCUUUUGUUUAAGUUUAAACCAAUCUUUUGGAACUAUGAGUCAUUUUCAGAACAGAGAGUGAUUCAGGAGAUGUAAUCUUUGUGUUUUAUAGGCCAGCAUCAUUAGAUAGGCCCUAUGCAAAUUAACAGAAGCGUUGCUGAACAGCAGUGACUGGCUUACCAUGUAUUUAUGGUUGCUUCUAACUCUCAGCCAGAAAACAUAAAUGUCUCUCUGGUGGAAACGUGUUUGGUGAGCAAUAACCCUCUCAGUUGGAGAAGAUCCAUCUGUCUUUCCUUCUACUUCAUGCAUCUUCACCACUGAAAAGAAGUUCAAGGAAAAUCAAGUUUCAGUUGUCAAAAAACCUGAUGCUUAAGAAUGAUUCUGUGAAAUAGACCAAAAAAAAGCAGCUGAAUAUUUUGUGGCUUAAUUUCAAGAUUCCCAUCGGUGCUAUAAAAAUACAAUUGAGUUUUAACUACUGCCUUCAUGCUAUCAAGAUGAUCCUGUAAAACUUAACUAUUUUGGUGUUUGCUAUUAUCUGAUUCUUUAGCAUGAAGAGGAAAGCAAAAGUAUUUUCCAAGAUUAUAUUAAUAUUUUCUUUCAGUUACAAGCUACAUCAAUUAAUUUCUUUAUAAACUCUACUAUAACAAGUUCCCACUGAUUCCUGGUUACUAUAAACAACAUCUGGGUACUGCACUGGUGCACAAGUUCUGUAAACACAUACUUUUAUAUCCAUCACAUCCUGAUGUUUCACAAGGAUAAAGCUGAUGUUCCCCUAAAAAAUAGAGAAGGCAGAUGCCUGUAGUGAUUUCACCGAAGUUACAACGUGAAGCAUGUGUGAUGUUAGGUACUUUACAGUACUUCUAAAGGGAGAAAGAAUGUGGCCGCAGAAAGGGAAUCCUGCCCGCAUGUUUGAUUCUUGAAAUGCACGUUAAAAGAUUUUUAUAUAUAAUAAAAGGCAAACAGUAAUAGAACCCCGCAGAUGGAGACAACUGUAGCACAGAGAGUGAAAAAUGUCUCACCGUCGGGCAGUGGCAGAACCAGCAAUGAAACACAAACCUCUUGCUCUGCUGGUUUACUCUCCAACUAAUUCACAUAAUAGGGGGUAGGGCUCUUUGCAGUGCUUCAGGCUGAUGGAGGUUACGCCUACAUAAAGUCCACACUUUUACCCUUGUACAAAGCCCCAAGCCCCUUUUACUUGCUUUUGGAGCCCUCCCAGAGACCCUGUAGCUCAGAGGGGAUCUGAGUGUGGGUCAAACAGCAGAUAACAGCUGAGAAGGGUUUUAAGAAAAGGUUUCUGGCUGCUUCUUGGCUGUUUGCUUCCCGGCUGAGGAGGGAGCCCAUCUGUGCAAGCCUUCCUCCUUCAUUUCAGUGCUGGCAGCGAGCUGCAGUCUCUGCUUAGGAGCAGUGCCACGAGCUGUGCCUUCCAGGAACAGGAGAGGAUGCAGCGUGGCCGUGUGGGUGUGUGGUGCACCCUUUGGGCCCCAGACGCAGGGACAAGACAAGCACAAAAGGGAGAGUAGGAAAAUGGAAUAUGCACAACUGGUUUAAUGCCAUGGGUUGUACACGUUUCUGAGACCAGCGUUUGCACUCAUUACGUGAUGUGCUUUCUCUUUAAUGGAAUUCUCUUAGACGUGCUGCUGAUAGGCUCUCUUCCCAUCUCUCCUUGAAUUCAAACAUUAUGGCUGAUUGAAAAAUAAGCAUGCAUUUUUCUGCUUUUUUCUUCUUUCGGUGUUUUUUUUUGGUCAGGUGGAAACAAUGAGGUGAACUCAUUUGUGACAGGCCCUUCUUCAGGCCUCUCCAACGUGGUCUGUAACGAGGGCACAGUGGAAAUUCCACAAAGAAGCCCAGAAGCUUUUCAGUUUGGGCAACCGUGUUGUUGUCUGCGUUUUAUUCGCAUCAAUCAGGUUUUUUUCACACCCAUCUUAGCUUCUUAUUGGUACCACAAGUCAACGCUUGCUGGAAAACGCCACCCUUGGAAAACAACCUGUAACGUACGACUGCUGUCUCUUCGUGUAUUUUCUGCUCAGAUCUUAACAUGCGCUUCCUCUGAAGGCCACCAGCGAUAAUAUUCACUCCCUCUCCAGAACCACAAGUCUGAUUGUGGUGCCAUCCAUGUAACAGAAUGCUGUUGGUGUGUGCUGGUGUUCUCUGUUCAUGCAUGUAAACCUGGGACUCCCAGGGAACUUAAGAAGCAUGAGCCUUGUUUGUGAAUCUCCAGAUGGGGGCAGACACUGAGAUGCACGGCUAGAAUAUUAGGCUGGGAUUGAUUACCCCAGUUCAGCUGUCAGGGAGCAGAAAGAAUUAAACCAAAGUCUCCUGGAUCCCAGGAAAAUGGCAUUACCGAUACCUCAACAUUUGGAGCAUCACACAAACACCGUGUGCUGUGUCAGAGCAGGACAGACGUGGUGUGAAAAACCUGCAGCACGUAAGCCAUGUUAAGAAAACGUUAUACUUCAGCCCAGUCCUUCACUGUGCCAAAAACAUGGAAAACUUGUUAACUGAAAUGAGAAGAAUAAGGAAAGACUGCAUGAAGCUCCCUCCUAAUACUUCCCAUCCAUUGUGCUUCAUUUUUUUUCUGUUCUGAGGCACUGCCUUUGCCUGAAGUGCCACACUGAAGUGCUAAUGCUUACGUGUUGUCAAGUGCCGAACAAGUCUGAGACUCAGAACUGAAUCAAAGGAAAAAAGAAGACACCUUUGAAAACACUUUGUAUAGUGAAUUCACUGCCUGCAGCCUAAAGUACCUUGCCUCAGCUUAGAGAAAUAUGGGCUAAAAAGACUCACUAACCCCCUUCCUGUUUUAAAAACCCAUAAAGAUUUCAUAACAGCAAUUGCAGCAUGGAGAGGACGCUCACCUCUUCUUCCACAGGCAAAGCUUCUCAAACACACACACACACAGAGGGUAGCUGCAGUGGCUUUAUCAUGGGCCACUUAUUCCAAGUGUCCCAAUGGCCUGGCUGGGAGUACCAAGUGAUGUCUGUCUCAGGAGUGCAUUGAUCGAUCCACAGGAUUCGGGCCUGGAGCUCAGGGUACCAAAGGCAUCUUUGUGAGGGGAUGUGGAUGUGCUUCAGUUAGAUGUAGGGGGAAAUGUCUGGUGUAGAGCCUCUACUUGGUGCAUGAACAGCUGUGCUGUCAGGUUUUUGGGUCUGAUGGCUGGCUGAGAGAAAAAGCACUUGUGGCUGUUUAGGUGUGGGCUGAAGCUAGGACUGCAACUGGCUUUGUUCUUUCCAACCAGUGAAGACAGAUAAACGUUGUCAUCUGUGAUUCGUCUAUAAGAAGGGCUGUUAAAGCAAUUAGGUUCUAAUUUUCAUUUCACAGUUUCUGCUUGUUAUCUUUGAUAAAUGAAGGAUGCUUAGGAUCAAGACUGCCUCCUGAGAUGGAGGGGCCUAGCCUUGACACCUGUAUGUUCAAGAACAAGCUGAAAUCACUAGUGCAAUGUUGUUUCACAUUGCUGCUGCUCUACCACCUGUUAAAUUGCUUCACCUCAGCGCUCUUCUGGAUUGCAUCCCAGUGAGCACUACAAGCAUAACCUACCUCUGUGCUUGGGCAUCUGGAGUAAAUUCACCCCCCUCCCUUUCUGUCUCGCUUGCAUUCCCUCUUGUGCUCUGCAUGACAAGAUGAAAUGUGCGCUACUGGACUGGAAUAAAACUGAAAGUCACUUGCAACUUUUUAAAAUACGAUGAGGCUAAUGUGGUGAAGGGGAAUGACCUUCUCAGUUGAUCAGACAUCUAGGAAUCUUUAAGAAUGUUGUUCAGCUUGUGCUGAACCCCCAAACACAUCCAUCACCACUCCAAAUCUUCUACUGAUUAAGCUGCUUGGAGUUCUACUUGGCAAUGACAAAGAACAGCAUUUCAAAAAGGUCACCAGGGACAUUUUCAAGUUUACUCAUCUGGAAUAGUUAUGAAUUUAGUUUUGCUCAGUUGUACUGUAUUGAUCACCACAGUGAUUUUAGAGUUCUGCAUUUUAAAUAAUGAGAAUGAUCUUAGGUAGCAGACUCAAAUCUAUCUGCCCCUUGGUGCGCACUUAGGGCAGGGCCAUAAAAGGCUGUUCCUUUGUGGUGGGGCAGGCCGUGGAGGUUCACCAUGUGGGCUACCCCAACAAUUAUGGCUCCUGCAUGCCCUCUCUCCCACUGAAUGCAAGGGACAAUAAAUGUAACUGAUCCCUCCAUGUGAGUGGGGUAGCUUCUUUCCAUUAACCAUGGGAUAAUUGGGUGCACAUUGCCUCAGAAGAGGCAAUAUGCUGACUCACCAGCCCACCUUGCCUCAUGGUAGCUAUCUAUGCUUGCACGGUGUGUUGUGACUCCACAGUGAGUGACUGUUUUAGGCUGAGGCAGACAAUCCACCCGAGCUCACAAGCCACAUGCCAAAAUCUUCUUCUGAGAAACAGCUGCAAGGCAUGUUCCCCAUGGCCCAGGAAGCCCAGAGGAAGAACUCCAGGAACAAUUCACAGGCAGGCUGAGAAAAUGGCUCCAUGAGGGAUGAGACUCUGCUGGCAUGAGAGCUGUAUGCAGAGCAAUUGGGUGGUAUUAGCAAUGACGGCCUCACUUUCUUCAUAGGGAUCAAAUUAGCAAACAACUCUUGUGUCAGUACAGCUGCAGUGGUCAUGCAGUGGCAGUGUGUCAGGAGGGCUCCAUGAGAGCACUGCUGCUUCAAAUAUCUGUGGACAACUGAUACACCACUGCUUGGCAGCACUUGUUGACUGAAGAGUGCUCCUCUUGCUUGUGAGAAUGAAAUCAAAACAAAUGAACUUGCUCAAUCCAUUUGCUUUCCAGCCACCACAAACAUUUUAGCAGUUCAGCUAUAUCCAGCACUACCUUUGAUGUACAAUGAAUACAUGCUGGCUUCCUACUGGAGGCCUGAGCACUAAGGUUUCUGCAAAUGAGAAGCUAUUCUACAACGAUAGUGUUACACCUGAGCUACUGAAGGUAUUACCUGGCUAUCAUACUAACAGGUUGCAGAGAAGUCUGUGGCAAAUUCUGUUUUGUAUUUUCUCUCUUCAG